rnacentral:rRNA from 1 species
UCGCAAGGACCUCGGUUCUUGCGAUCAAAGCUGGCCUCUGUUUACAAGCUAGCGCCACCGGAGGGGCCCGCGCCCCAUUAGCUAGUUGGUGAGGUAACGGCUCACCAAGGCAACGAUGGGUAGCCGGCCUGAGAGGGCGACCGGCCACACUGGAACUGCGACACGGUCCAGACUCCUACGGGAGGCAGCAGUGAGGAAUCUUGCGCAAUGGGCGAAAGCCUGACGCAGCGACGCCGCGUGGAGGAUGAAGGUCUUCGGAUUGUAAACUCCUGUCGAGUGGGACGAAUGCCAUGAGGGUGAACAAUCCUUGUGGUUGACGGUACCGCUGGAGGAAGCCCCGGCUAACUCCGGCCAGCAGCCGCGGUAAUACGGAGGGGGC